UGGGGAAUUUUGGACAAUGGGCGAAAGCCUGAUCCAGCAAUGCCGCGUGUGUGAAGAAGGCCUUCGGGUUGUAAAGCACUUUUGUCCGGAAAGAAAUGGCUCUGGUUAAUACCUGGGGUCGAUGACGGUACCGGAAGAAUAAGGACCGGCUAACUACGUGCCAGCAGCCGCGGUAAUACGUAGGGUCCAAGCGUUAAUCGGAAUUACUGGGCGUAAAGCGUGCGCAGGCGGUUGUGCAAGACCGAUGUGAAAUCCCCGAGCUUAACUUGGGAAUUGCAUUGGUGACUGCACGGCUAGAGUGUGUCAGAGGGGGGUAGAAUUCCACGUGUAGCAGUGAAAUGCGUAGAGAUGUGGAGGAAUACCGAUGGCGAAGGCAGCCCCCUGGGAUAACACUGACGCUCAUGCACGAAAGCGUGGGGAGCAAACAGGAUUAGAUACCCUGGUAGUCCACGCCCUAAAACGAUGUCAACUAGUUGUUGGGGAUUCAUUUCCUUAGUAACGUAGCUAACGCGUGAAGUUGACCGCCUGGGGAGUACGGUCGCAAGAUUAAAAA
rnacentral:rRNA from 1 species